CGCGUAGGCGGUUCGACAAGUUGGAUGUGAAAGCCCAGGGCUCAACCCUGGAAUUGCAUUCAAAACUGUCUUACUUGAAUUCGGUAGAGGUUGGUGGAAUUCCCCAGUGUAGAGGUGAAAUUCGUAGAUAUUGGGAAGAAUAUCCGUGGCGAAGGCGGCCAACUGGACCGACAUUGACGCUGAGGCGCGAAAGCGUGGGGAGCAAACA
rnacentral:rRNA from 1 species